rnacentral:lncRNA from 1 species
CUUGCUAUGUUGCUUAGGCUGGACUUGAACUAUGGGGCUCAUGAAAUUCCCCCACCUGUCUCAGCUUCCUGAAUAGCUGGGCUGCAGUGUCUGGCCUAUUAGAUGAUAUUUUAGUAAAUGACUUGACUGACGGUUGUAAAUUUCUCCAUCAAACUAAAGUGAAAUGUUUGGCUCCAAUAAAAUAUAUUCAUUCUAAUUAAAAGUGUAUGGCACAAAUCCAUUGUGAAUACUUGAACUAUGUGUUAAAAUAUUCCUGAGCAUAGUAGUAAUAUGUAAAAGGCCAGCAAGAAAAUUCGAACUAGGAGGUAAACAAUCUCUGAGAAUAUUGUAUCAAAUUUGAGAACAUUAAACUCUUACAAGAUAGGAGUGUUUUUGAAUAAAACUGAUACAUCCUGUAAAGAAAAGUAUACUCUAAAUCAUAUCCAUGUAUACAAUUAAGAGGCUGUAGAGCCAUUGAGCAUGAAUUACCACAAGUAAUAAGGUAUAGUCCGUUUCCCAAGUAAUUGCUUGUUACUUGUUAUCUUAGGUACACCAGCAGUCAAGGUGCUGGCAUAUGACAUAGACCUCUUCAAUCACUUGCACCUUUUGGAGUUGGAAAUACAAAAACUAGACUGGAAAUCAAGACAGCUUCUCUGUGUCAAAGCCCCAGGUAGAUCCGCCAGCAUGAGCUGCUUCAUGAUUGAUGAUCCAGCAAGCUGUUACAACCAUUCAGAGAGCACGCUGUGUCUUCAUUUUUACCCUAUUAACUUAAAUGCCAGGGUUCAUUGGCACAUUACAGUUGCUAAAAUUCAAUCUGACCAACCACAUGGAAGAAAAAAAGACUGAAAAUUUAGUCAGAAAUCUCUCGGUAUAUACGUAUCCAUCACAUUACUUAUGAAAGUUGUCUGGUCCAAAAUACAGGCUUUGCCAUCUGUGGUAAUAAAUCUAAUGGCAAACUUCACAUGGUUACCUGUGAUCAUGCUUAAAAACAGACACACAUCUGAUAAUGCCAUUACUGUAGUUAGAAAUGUUUGACCACACCGAAGCUUUUUAAAAAAUUACCAGAAAUAAGUUAAACUUCAUCCAUAAAUAUAUAAAUAAAUGCAAACUUAAUGGUUAUUGUCUCUAAAUCUAUCCUCAUGCUCUUAUUUUACCUAGCUGUAUCUCUUACUCUACACUGCUGGGAAAUUCUAGGCUCUAUAUUCCCGCAAUACAGACCAUAAAUAGUCCUGCCACCAUGUCACCUACUUUACCUCUAUGUCUUUGUUCAGGUGAUUUUCAUUUUUGGAAUAUUCUCUUUUUAACCGUAGAACAACUAAAAUCCUACCUAUCCCUCAAGGUCUGGUUGUAAACAUUAGUGCUACUUGCAGGCUACCUCAGUUCUGAAGACGGAGUUGUUAUCUUCCUCCUUCGUUCUCACAAACGACUUCAUAUCUACUGAUAUAGCUAGGAUAUUUGUUCCUGCCCAAGUCUGAUGUUGAAUUGUAACCCACAGUUCUGGAGGUGGGGUCUGGUGGGAGGUGUUUGAAUCAUGGGGGCAGAUUCCUCAUGGCUUGGUGCUGUCUUCAUAAUAGUGAGUUCUCGGGACUUCUGGUAAUUUGAAAGUGUGUGUGGCACCUCUUCCCGGACUCACUCUUUCUUGCUCCUGUUUUCACCAUGGGACAUGCAAGCUUCCACUUCACCUUCUGCCAUAAGUAGAAGCUUCCGAAGGCCUCACUAGAAGCCAUGUUUCCAGUACAGCCUGCAGAACUGUGAGCCAAUGUAUUGGCCCAUUCUCAUGCUGCUAUGAAAAAA